rnacentral:miRNA from 1 species
AGUAGAGAUGGGGUUUCUCCAUGUUGGUCAGGCUGGUCUCAAACUCCUGACCUCAGGUGAUCCACCCA